GUUCUAUUUUCUGGUGGAAUGGUUUUCCAGUUGGAUUUAACAAAGGAUUGCCUCUCUGCUUGCUGUGGCAGUUUGGGCUACUGGGCCAUGUCUGAGUGCUUGAGAAAACUGAGAGUAAAAAAACAGACAGCCGAUGUUCUGGUUCUUCAGAGAAGAAGGACCAAUGGGAAGGGGAAUUUGUGAAACUUCAGGGUGUUUUAUCUGUCUCUGCCUGAAAAAUCAGAGUUGAUAGCUUUCAUCUGAUCACAAAUGUUGCUCUGAAUUCAUGCAAGGCCAUAUACUGUGGCAAAACUACACUUUUUGCUUCCUCUCAGUAUCAUCCAACAUCCAAAAAGAGAUACGAUCCCCAGUCUAAAAGCAUAAAGACCAUCCCUCAUCUCUCACCCCACCCCCCCCCC